AAGUCGUAACAAGGUUUCCGUAGGUGAACCUGCGGAAGGAUCAUUACCCAGGAGAGGGGGACUUUAAAGGGACAUAACCCGAAUACGUGGGGAUAUAACCCGUCACGUAUUUGGGCUAUGUCCCUGGAGCCUGCCCACACUCAUGUCUUUUGCGUACAACUUGUUUUCCUCGGGGAGGCUACUCUCCAAUAGGAUCAUCAUACCAACCCUUUUGUAAUUGCAGUCAGCGUCAGAAAAUCAUAUAAUUAUUACAACUUUCAACAACGGAUCUCUUGGUUCUG
rnacentral:misc_RNA from 1 species